GUUCAUGAAAGUUGGACAUCUUUAAAAAGUAUGUUCACAUAAGGAAACACUGUUUUAAAACAUUGAGACAGACCAGUGAAGGUCAAACAGAGACCAGUGAAGGUCAAAGACCAGUGAAGGUCAAACAGAGACCAGUGAAGGUCAAACACUGAAUGAUGAUGAAAACCUGAAACAAACAUCACUGAGAUAAAAAACAAAACCUGAA